ACGAACAGUUGGAAACGACUGCUAAUACCGCAUAAGCCCACGGGUCGGCAUCGACCAGAGGGAAAAGGAGCAAUCCGCUUUGAGAUGGCCUCGCGUCCGAUUAGCUAGUUGGUGAGGUAAUGGCCCACCAAGGCAACGAUCGGUAGCCGGACUGAGAGGUUGAACGGCCACAUUGGGACUGAGACACGGCCCAGACUCCUACGGGGAGGCAGCAUG
rnacentral:rRNA from 1 species